rnacentral:tRNA from 1 species
GCCUCCGUGGUGCAGUGGUCAACACACUCGACGCGUAACCGAGAGAUCCGUGGUUCGAUUCCGGGCGAAGGCG